rnacentral:rRNA from 1 species
GGGUUGUGAGGUUAAGCGACUAAGCGUACACGGUGGAUGCCCUGGCAGUCAGAGGCGAUGAAGGACGUGCUAAUCUGCGAUAAGCGUCGGUAAGGUGAUAUGAACCGUUAUAACCGGCGAUUUCCGAAUGGGGAAACCCAGUGUGUUUCGACACACUAUCAUUAACUGAAUCCAUAGGUUAAUGAGGCGAACCGGGGGAACUGAAACAUCUAAGUACCCCGAGGAAAAGAAAUCAACCGAGAUUCCCCCAGUAGCGGCGAGCGAACGGGGAGGAGCCCAGAGCCUGAAUCAGUGUGUGUGUUAGUGGAAGCGUCUGGAAAGGCGCGCGAUACAGGGUGACAGCCCCGUACACAAAAAUGCACAUGCUGUGAGCUCGAUGAGUAGGGCGGGACACGUGGUAUCCUGUCUGAAUAUGGGGGGACCAUCCUCCAAGGCUAAAUACUCCUGACUGACCGAUAGUGAACCAGUACCGUGAGGGAAAGGCGAAAAGAACCCCGGCGAGGGGAGUGAAAAAGAACCUGAAACCGUGUACGUACAAGCAGUGGGAGCACGCUUAGGCGUGUGACUGCGUACCUUUUGUAUAAUGGGUCAGCGACUUAUAUUCUGUAGCAAGGUUAACCGAAUAGGGGAGCCGAAGGGAAACCGAGUCUUAACUGGGCGUUAAGUUGCAGGGUAUAGACCCGAAACCCGGUGAUCUAGCCAUGGGCAGGUUGAAGGUUGGGUAACACUAACUGGAGGACCGAACCGACUAAUGUUGAAAAAUUAGCGGAUGACUUGUGGCUGGGGGUGAAAGGCCAAUCAAACCGGGAGAUAGCUGGUUCUCCCCGAAAGCUAUUUAGGUAGCGCCUCGUGAAUUCAUCUCCGGGGGUAGAGCACUGUUUCGGCAAGGGGGUCAUCCCGACUUACCAACCCGAUGCAAACUGCGAAUACCGGAGAAUGUUAUCACGGGAGACACACGGCGGGUGCUAACGUCCGUCGUGAAGAGGGAAACAACCCAGACCGCCAGCUAAGGUCCCAAAGUCAUGGUUAAGUGGGAAACGAUGUGGGAAGGCCCAGACAGCCAGGAUGUUGGCUUAGAAGCAGCCAUCAUUUAAAGAAAGCGUAAUAGCUCACUGGUCGAGUCGGCCUGCGCGGAAGAUGUAACGGGGCUAAACCAUGCACCGAAGCUGCGGCAGCGACGCUGAUGCGUUGUUGGGUAGGGGAGCGUUCUGUAAGCCUGCGAAGGUGUGCUGUGAGGCAUGCUGGAGGUAUCAGAAGUGCGAAUGCUGACAUAAGUAACGAUAAAGCGGGUGAAAAGCCCGCUCGCCGGAAGACCAAGGGUUCCUGUCCAACGUUAAUCGGGGCAGGGUGAGUCGACCCCUAAGGCGAGGCCGAAAGGCGUAGUCGAUGGGAAACAGGUUAAUAUUCCUGUACUUGGUGUUACUGCGAAGGGGGGACGGAGAAGGCUAUGUUGGCCGGGCGACGGUUGUCCCGGUUUAAGCGUGUAGGCUGGUUUUCCAGGCAAAUCCGGAAAAUCAAGGCUGAGGCGUGAUGACGAGGCACUACGGUGCUGAAGCAACAAAUGCCCUGCUUCCAGGAAAAGCCUCUAAGCAUCAGGUAACAUCAAAUCGUACCCCAAACCGACACAGGUGGUCAGGUAGAGAAUACCAAGGCGCUUGAGAGAACUCGGGUGAAGGAACUAGGCAAAAUGGUGCCGUAACUUCGGGAGAAGGCACGCUGAUAUGUAGGUGAGGUCCCUCGCGGAUGGAGCUGAAAUCAGUCGAAGAUACCAGCUGGCUGCAACUGUUUAUUAAAAACACAGCACUGUGCAAACACGAAAGUGGACGUAUACGGUGUGACGCCUGCCCGGUGCCGGAAGGUUAAUUGAUGGGGUUAGCGCAAGCGAAGCUCUUGAUCGAAGCCCCGGUAAACGGCGGCCGUAACUAUAACGGUCCUAAGGUAGCGAAAUUCCUUGUCGGGUAAGUUCCGACCUGCACGAAUGGCGUAAUGAUGGCCAGGCUGUCUCCACCCGAGACUCAGUGAAAUUGAACUCGCUGUGAAGAUGCAGUGUACCCGCGGCAAGACGGAAAGACCCCGUGAACCUUUACUAUAGCUUGACACUGAACAUUGAGCCUUGAUGUGUAGGAUAGGUGGGAGGCUUUGAAGUGUGGACGCCAGUCUGCAUGGAGCCGACCUUGAAAUACCACCCUUUAAUGUUUGAUGUUCUAACGUUGACCCGUAAUCCGGGUUGCGGACAGUGUCUGGUGGGUAGUUUGACUGGGGCGGUCUCCUCCUAAAGAGUAACGGAGGAGCACGAAGGUUGGCUAAUCCUGGUCGGACAUCAGGAGGUUAGUGCAAUGGCAUAAGCCAGCUUGACUGCGAGCGUGACGGCGCGAGCAGGUGCGAAAGCAGGUCAUAGUGAUCCGGUGGUUCUGAAUGGAAGGGCCAUCGCUCAACGGAUAAAAGGUACUCCGGGGAUAACAGGCUGAUACCGCCCAAGAGUUCAUAUCGACGGCGGUGUUUGGCACCUCGAUGUCGGCUCAUCACAUCCUGGGGCUGAAGUAGGUCCCAAGGGUAUGGCUGUUCGCCAUUUAAAGUGGUACGCGAGCUGGGUUUAGAACGUCGUGAGACAGUUCGGUCCCUAUCUGCCGUGGGCGCUGGAGAACUGAGGGGGGCUGCUCCUAGUACGAGAGGACCGGAGUGGACGCAUCACUGGUGUUCGGGUUGUCAUGCCAAUGGCACUGCCCGGUAGCUAAAUGCGGAAGAGAUAAGUGCUGAAAGCAUCUAAGCACGAAACUUGCCCCGAGAUGAGUUCUCCCUGACCCUUUAAGGGUCCUGAAGGAACGUUGAAGACGACGACGUUGAUAGGCCGGGUGUGUAAGCGCAGCGAUGCGUUGAGCUAACCGGUACUAAUGAACCGUGAGGCUUAACCUUACAACGCCGAAGCUGUU